GAUGAAGGGAGGGAGGGAGAGGUGGGCUGUCCCCGCCGGCGCCAUGUGAUGCCCUCCCCUCCCCGCCGCGGCGCGGAGCAUCCCCGAGGCCGACGGCCGCGUCCCGCUGCCGGAGCAGCGCCCGCGGGGCCGCUCUUAGGUUGGGUCUCCCAAGCAGAGCAGCAGGAGGCUCCUUGGUGGUGACCAGAGAGGACUCUGACCUGCAGCAUUGCCACCCCCAUCGUGUCCCUUGCACCCCCUGAACCCACACAGGGGAGACGGCAACAAGGAGGAGGCCCCACUGGAGCUGGUAGGUGCCCUGCAUGGUGCAGCGUGCAGCCCUCCUGUGAGUCAACUGGAGAAGCAGAAGCAAGGCUGUGUCCUCUCCUAUGGUCCAGGAGCUCU